AGCAACGAAACAAAUUUUAUAGUUAGGGGUCACCACAACAUGAGGAACUGUAUUAAAGGGUCGCGCCAUUAAGAAGGUUGAGAACCACUGCUAUAAGUAAUAGAUCAUUAAUAUAUACAGUAUAUAUAAUAAAAUAAAUGAAUAAUUGAUCAUUUAAACUAUACUUACUGGUCUCUCCUUCUGUCCGAGCUGUUGAUUUCAAUUUUUCUAAUUUCUGUUUAAAUAAAAAUUAAUUUAAUUAUACUUACAAUGAUCAGUGGAUGCGUUUUUUGCUAUUAUAUGAAAAAGAUCAUUAUAAUAUAAUAAAUAAAUAAUUAAUCAAUUAAGAUUAACUGUACUUACGAGCCUCUUCCUCAGCUUGAGUUGUAAUUUUUGGUUGAUCCUUU
rnacentral:lncRNA from 1 species